rnacentral:rRNA from 1 species
CAGCCGCCACGGGAAAACGAAGGGGGCUAGCGUUGUUCGGAAUUACUGAGCGUAAAGGGCGCAUAGGCGGCCAUUCAAGUUAGAUGUGAAAUUCCUGGGCUCAACCUGGGAACUGCAUUGGUGACUGCGAAACUGGAGUGCGGCAGAGGGAGAUGGAAUUCCGCGUGUAGCAGUGAAAUGCGUAGAUAUGCGGAGGAACACCGAUGGCGAAGGCAGUCUCCUGGGCCUGCACUGACGCUCAUGCACGAAAGCGUGGGGAGCAAACAGGAUUAGAUACCCGAGUAGUCCCUGUCUCUUAUAC